UACGUAGGGUGCGAGCGUUGUCCGGAAUUAUUGGGCGUAAAGAGCUCGUAGGCGGUCUGUCGCGUCGGCUGUGAAAUCCCGGAGCUCAACCUCGGGUCUGCAGUCGAUACGAGCAAACUAGAGUGUUGCAGGGGAGACUGGAAUUCCUGGUGUAGCGGUGAAAUGCGCAGAUAUCAGGAGGAACACCGGUGGCGAAGGCGGGUCUCUGGGUAACAACUGGACGCUGAGGAGCGAAAGCGUGGGGAGCGAACAGG
rnacentral:rRNA from 1 species